AAGCCAAGGGAUUUGCACAAUUGG
rnacentral:siRNA from 1 species